ensembl:lncRNA
GUGCUUUUACCUGUCCAGUGCAAUCAAAUCACUAAAGGUGAAGGAAAUUAGGGAUCAAGUUCAGAUUCAACUUUAGAUUUCUCUUUGCGGUUUCCCAGAGUCUUCUCAGACACCCGGGUGUGGUUUCCGGGAAAGGGGAUCUAUCAUUGAGCAGCUGGAGAAGGAGGCUCAGAGGACUCUAAUGCCUUCUCUCAAGAUUGAGACAUGCUGUGCCCCAAUCCUCCUCUCCUUCCUGAGGAGUCUAACUGAUGACCAAUGGAGAGUGAUUCAGCAUGGCAUGAAAAAUAACCUCACAUUCGAGCAGCUCUCCAUGCUGUGUCUGAAGAUUGUUAAAGUCGUGACCCAGACAGCCCUCCGCAUUCUCCUACCAGCGCUAGCUCG